GAUGAACGCUGGCGGCGUGCCUAAUACAUGCAAGUCGAGCGAACAGAUAAGGAGCUUGCUCCUUUGACGUUAGCGGCGGACGGGUGAGUAACACGUGGGUAACCUACCUAUAAGACUGGGAUAACUUCGGGAAACCGGAGCUAAUACCGGAUAACAUUUGGAACCGCAUGGUUCUAAAGUGAAAGAUGGUUUUGCUAUCACUUAUAGAUGGACCCGCGCCGUAUUAGCUAGUUGGUAAGGUAACGGCUUACCAAGGCGACGAUACGUAGCCGACCUGAGAGGGUGAUCGGCCACCCUGGAACUGAGACACGGUCCAGACUCCUACGGGAGGCAGCAGUAGGGAAUCUUCCGCAAUGGGCGAAAGCCUGACGGAGCAACGCCGCGUGAGUGAUGAAGGGUUUCGGCUCGUAAAACUCUGUUAUUAGGGAAGAACAAAUGUGUAAGUAACUGUGCACGUCUUGACGGUACCUAAUCAGAAAGCCACGGCUAACUACGUG
rnacentral:rRNA from 1 species